rnacentral:tRNA from 1 species
GGAAGAAAAACCGGCCAGGGGUCGGGGCCGCCUCGAAAGCGGAGCGCGCCCAGCGGGGCGUGGGGUUCGAGUCCUCUUUCUUCCU